rnacentral:rRNA from 1 species
GCAUUCUAGGGACCGGGAGAGGUGAGAGGUACUCCAGGGGUAGGAGUGAAAUCCUGUAAUCCUUGGGGGACCACCGAUGGCGAAGGCAUCUCACCAGAACGGCUCCGACAGUGAGGAACGAAAGCUGGGGGAGCAAACCGGAUUAGAUACCCGGGUAGUCCCAGCUGUAAACGAUGCGCGUUAGGUGUAUCGGUGACCACGAGUUACCGAGGUGCCGAAGGGAAACCGUGAAACGCGC